UACGUAGGGGGCAAGCGUUGUCCGGAUUUAUUGGGCGUAAAGGGCGUGUAGGCGGCCAUACAGGUCCGUUGUGAAAACUGGAGGCUUAACCUCCAGACGUCGAUGGAAACCGUAUGGCUAGAGUCCGGAAGAGGAGAGUGGAAUUCCUGGUGUAGCGGUGAAAUGCGCAGAUAUUAGGAAGAACACCAGUGGCGAAGGCGGCUCACUGGUCCGGUACUGACGCUGAGGUGCGAAAGCGUGGGAGCAAACAGGG
rnacentral:rRNA from 1 species